rnacentral:rRNA from 1 species
GAUGAACGCUGGCGGCGUGCCUAAUACAUGCAAGUCGAGCGAACAGACGAGGAGCUUGCUCCUCUGACGUUAGCGGCGGACGGGUGAGUAACACGUGGAUAACCUACCUAUAAGACUGGGAUAACUUCGGGAAACCGGAGCUAAUACCGGAUAAUAUAUUGAACCGCAUGGUUCAAUAGUGAAAGACGGUUUUGCUGUCACUUAUAGAUGGAUCCGCGCCGCAUUAGCUAGUUGGUAAGGUAACGGCUUACCAAGGCAACGAUGCGUAGCCGACCUGAGAGGGUGAUCGGCCACACUGGAACUGAGACACGGUCCAGACUCCUACGGGAGGCAGCAGUAGGGAAUCUUCCGCAAUGUGCGAAAGCCUGACGGAGCAACGCCGCGUGAAUGAUGAAGGUCUUCGGAUCGUAAAACUCUGUUAUUAGGGAAGAACAAAUGUGUAAGUAACUAUGCACGUCUUGACGGUACCUAAUCAGAAAGCCACGGCUAACUACGUG